GACGAAGGGGGCUAGCGUUGUUCGGAAUUACUGGGCGUAAAGCGCGUGUAGGCGGUUAUCCAAGUCGGGUGUGAAAGCCUUGAGCUCAACUCAAGAAAUGCACUCGGUACUGGGUGACUAGAGGACCGGAGAGGAUAGUGGAAUUCCCAGUGUAGUGGUGAAAUACGUAGAGAUUGGGGAAGAACACCAGUGGCGAAGGCGGCUAUCUGGGACGGU
rnacentral:rRNA from 1 species